AUUGAACGCUGGCGGCAUGCCUUACACAUGCAAGUCGAACGGUAACAGGUUAAGCUGACGAGUGGCGAACGGGUGAGUAAUGUAUCGGAACGUGCCCAGUCGUGGGGGAUAACUACUCGAAAGAGUGGCUAAUACCGCAUACGACCUGAGGGUGAAAGCGGGGGACCGUAAGGCCUCGCGCGAUUGGAGCUGCCGAUAUCAGAUUAGCUAGUUGGUGGGGUAAAAGACCACCAAGGCGACGAGCUGUGGCUGGUCUGAGAGGACGACCAGCCCGACAGGGACUGAGACCCGGCCGAGCCGCCUACGGAAGGCAGCAGUGGGGAAGUUUGGCCAAUGUACGCAAGUCUGAUCCAGCCAUGCCGCGUGCGGGAAGAAGGCCUUCGGGUUGUAAACCGCUUUUGUCAGGGAAGAAACGAGUUUCUCUAAUACAGAGACUUAAUGACGGUACCUGAAGAAUAAGCACCGGCUAACUACGUGCCAGCCGCCGCAGUAAAAC
rnacentral:rRNA from 1 species